rnacentral:rRNA from 1 species
AUUGAACGCUGGCGGCAGGCUUAACACAUGCAAGUCGAGCGGGGUGAUGGUGCUUGCACUAUCACUUAGCGGCGGACGGGUGAGUAAUGCUUAGGAAUCUGCCUAUUAGUGGGGGACAACAUCUCGAAAGGGAUGCUAAUACCGCAUACGUCCUACGGGAGAAAGCAGGGGAUCACUUGUGACCUUGCGCUAAUAGAUGAGUCUAAGUCGGAUUAGCUAGUUGGUGGGGUAAAGGCCUACCAAGGCGACGAUCUGUAGCGGGUCUGAGAGGAUGAUCCGCCACACUGGGACUGAGACACGGCCCAGACUCCUACGGGAGGCAGCAGUGGGGAAUAUUGGACAAUGAGGGGAACCCUGAUCCAGCCAUGCCGCGUGUGUGAAGAAGGCCUUACGGUUGUAAAGCACUUUAAGCGAGGAGGAGGCUCUUUUGGUUAAUACCCAAGAUGAGUGGACGUUACUCGCAGAAUAAGCACCGGCUAACUCUGUGCCAGCAGCCGCCGUAA